ACCAAUCAGGACCAGACCGCACGUCUGUGAGCUUAGUACCGGACCAAUCGCUGUCCAGCUCUGCCUCAAGCUCCUCACACUCUUCAUCACAAGGAGAUGGAGCCGACUCACCUGAUGUUAAUGGAAAUGGUCGACAGACUCUGCUGACAGACUCAAACACAGGUAUGAUAUACAGGUACUAUACAACAUGUCAAACAGACACAAAGAUCUUUGUGAAUGAACGUCAUUCAUCAAACAAACAGGAACAAAUAAUAAUUAAAAUACAAACAUGAGUACAUUCAUACAUACAU